UAGUAAUCUCAUAAGGUCCUGUCUAUAGCAAGUACUUCAAUCAACCGAGCCAGGCCAAUAGGCAAAGCAAUAUUUGCAAUCAGUGGACAUUGAAAUGAAAAAAGUUGUUUUUCCUUUUCUUUCUCCUUUCCACAUUUAGGUAUAUGAUUUAUCUAUUCCAAAUGGUCAGAAAAUUUUUCUGCUACAGAGACUUAAAACAAUGGCAGCCUACAGAGCCAAAGAAAUGCGACAAAUCAAGCUUGGAGUCGACAAGUUAGGAGCUCGAGAUAGGAAUUGGAACCCGAUGCUUAAAGGAUCAUUAAAAAAUUUUAAAGACUAGUAAUUUUUUAAAGGGGAAAACAACAAUGUGGUAUUGGGACUUAAAAGAUGAAAUCUUCAAUCGAGUAAGUACCAUCUCUAGAGAUAAAUUGAAACAAAUAGCACAUUGAAAUUAUACCUCAAUAUCCACAACCCAAAUUUCUAUGAAUGAUGAUCAUAUCAAUCUAACAAGAAAAACCAAUGACUAAGAAAAACGAAAAUCAAAGUUACAAUUUACAAACCUGUUUGACCCAGUGCAAGAAGAA
rnacentral:misc_RNA from 1 species